CUCUAUUAAAGAGAUAUUGUCCAUAUACAGAUUGAGAAAUACAGACAAAUCUCUUCAAGAUACAAAAAAGGCAGAUUUUUCCGUAGCCAUUUUGCAGGAAAUUUCUGUAUUUUGUAGAGCAAUAUUUAGCUUGUAUACAAAAAUAUUGCUGUACGAACUACAACUAACUAUUUUCACUUUCAGGUGGAGCUUGUGGCUAUGGAGAAUAUGGAAGAACAGUCAACAGUGGAGCAUUUUGUGGCGUCUCUAAGCUAUACAACAAUGGCACUUCUUGUGGUGCAUGCUAUCAGAUGAAAUGCAAGCAUCCAAACUACUGCAAUGAAGAGGGGACAGUUGUGGUGGUAACAGACUCUGGCGAAGAGAAAGCAGAUUUUAUUCUCAGCUUUAGCGCCUACGCAAAAUUAGCUAAGCCUAUAAUGGUUGCAAAGCUUAUCGGGCAGGGUGAGGUUGAAAUAGAGUAUCAAAGAGUUCCUUUCAAGUAUGCAACUGGUGCACAUCUCGUGGUUAAGGUUCAUGAGAGCAGCAACUUCCCUAAUUACUUAGCCAUAGUACUGUUAAACAAAGGUGGACUAAGCGAUAUCAUGGCUAGCUAUUGAAGUUUGGGAGGAGUCCCACAAGCAAUGGAAGUCAAUGGUGAGGAUGUUUGGUGCAGUAUGGGCCAUUUCAGAUCCACCAAAGGGAGCACUGAAGUUCAGGUUUCAAGUGAGAGGCAGUGCAGGAGUGGUGUGGGUGCAGCCCCUCAAAUUGAUUCCUAGUGAUUGGAAGGCUGAAGUUCUGAUUGACACCUUCAUUCAACUUACUUAAAACACUCCAACCACCAAACUUACUACUACUAUUUUUACACAGUAUUCUACUUGCACUACUGAAAAUAUAGAUUAGUAUAGCUUAAGUACUCUAUUUAUGGACUGAAAAUAUCGAGUGGCAUAUUUCGUACCUAUAGCUCGAAUCAAUAAAUUUGAUGUGUGUACUCUUGUUUGAUAUUGGAUUAUGUUACUUGUGAUAAGACAAGAAUCAAUUAUUUCAGAUGCUUAAACCGGGAAAGAAUAUCAGAAACACUAGCUGCAGACUAGGAGUAAAUUCUGUAGCAACAGAGAAAAUAUAAAAUGUUCUAUUUGCUAUAAACUCAACAAACGCUUAUUAACAAUAGUUACUAGUGCCCUUCAACUUGCAACUUUGCCUAUACUCAUGCCAGAAGCAAAAAAAAAAAAAAAAACACACACACUCACACACGGAGAUCACCUCAAAAAGAUGCAAUACUCAGCAACAAAAUUAUAUCCAUUCACCAACUCGAGGAAACCAAAAAUUCACUUGCUAUAAUUAUUUGUCACCUCCAAAAUUAAAUGCAAGUUUGUAGAGAAGCGCAAAUGUGAUCUUGAUUAACAGAGUAUAUUAGCCUGAGCGAGCUUCUGUACUGAAUUCCAUGAACUAUUAGCAUUUGACGGGGUCUGGUUUUGCGGAGGGGUUGAAAAUUUUGAGAAAUACGUCACAAAAAAGAUUCCACCUAAUCUUUAGAAAUACCGUCAAAAAGAUAUGUG